rnacentral:rRNA from 1 species
GCUUGGCCCUAAACCUCAAUAGUCAAGACAACAAAACUAUUCGCCAGAAUACUACAAGCAACAGCUUAAAACUCAAAGGACUUGGCGGUGCUUCAUACCCCCUAGAGGAGCCUGUUCCAUAAUCGAUAAACCCCGAUCCACCCUACCCUCUCUUGCUUAGUCUAUAUACCGCCAUCUUCAGCAAACCCUGAUGAAGGCUACGAAGUGAGCGCAAAUGCCCUUCCCCGCAAAAACGUUAGGUCAAGGUGUAACCUAUGAGACGGUAAAAAAUGGGCUACAUUUUCUACUUCAGAAAACCCCACGAUAGCUCUUAUGAAAUCUAAGAGCCCAAGGAGGAUUUAGCAGUAAAUUAAGAAUAGAGUGCUUAAUUGAACCAGGCCAUAAAGCACGC